UACGUAGGGGGCGAGCGUUGUCCGGAAUCACUGGGCGUAAAGGGCGUGUAGGCGGCCUGUUAAGUCAGGCGUGAAAACCCCGGGCUUAACCUGGGGACUGCGCUUGAAACUGGCGGGCUUGAGGGCAGGAGAGGAAAGUGGAAUUCCCGGUGUAGCGGUGAUAUGCGUAGAUACCGGGAGGAACACCAGUGGCGAAGGCGGCUUUCUGGACUGCACCUGACGCUGAGGCGCGAAAGCCAGGGGAGCGAACGGG
rnacentral:rRNA from 2 species